CUGCUUCAAGAGUUUGUGGAGCUGAGGAUGAUCCCUCUCCUCGGUUGUUUAUAAGACAUUAUCGAUAGAGAGUUCUUGAUGUAUCGUAUCAUGUCAUCAGCAAUAGGUGAACCACACUCUUUCAUUGAUUUCACCAUGGCUAUAGAAUCUUCCAAGUCUUGGGUAUGCAAGCCUGUUUCACGGGACUUCUCCAAAAUGUUGCUGCGUUUCGGACGUGCUGUUGGAUGUAGUAAAGCCCUACUGAGGGUUCGUUUGCUAUGUACUUUAUCAUAUUCUUUAGUGAAAAUAUACAAAAGGAUAAUUUCUUUAACAANNNNNNNNNNNNNNNNNNNNNNNNNNNNNNNNNNNNNNNNNNNNNNNNNNNNNNNNNNNNNNNNNNNNNCCAUUCAAUUAACGUAUUAGUUUUGGGGUUUUAGUUUGAUUUUUAUUUUUUAACAAAAUGUUUUUUUGGUCUUCUAACAAAUUAACAAUUUGAUUUUUAGUUGAUACUUUUGGUUCGAGUAAUUUGUUAGAAAUUUUAUUUUUUGGGAAGAAAGUAGAAAAAAAAUUAUUCUUCUUUUGUUUAGUAGUUUAUUUGUUUUUGUCUUAUGUCAAUAUUUAUUUUGAUAGACAUUUUUUGUUUAGAACAUUGGAGGAAAAUAUUAUUAAGAAGACAUUGUUUGGUUUCAAAAUAUAAUAAUAACGAAAAAAUAUUAGUUAGAAUAUAUUGGUAUGAAAAUAUAUGAUAUGUAUGGAUUUAUAAUUUUAAUUUUGAUAAUUGAUAUAUAUGAAAUAGUGUAUAACCAUGAUGGAACUUGACACUUGCAUCUUUAAAACGUAUUGUUGUGUCUGUUGAUUUAUUCUAUGCUAAGGUGAAUUUGAUAGAUUGUCUUGGGAAUCCAAUUAGGGCACAAAAAAAGGAAAAAAAAAAUGUCUAGAUACGUGUGGGAGAAAGAAGUCACCAUCUAUGGUGUCUACUGCUCCAGGGUUUUGGAGAAACCUAUAGAGUGGAACCGGAGAGUCGAUUUCGUACCUAAUCCAGGACCAUGGCAGAGGAAUCACGAGAAGCUGCCCUCUGCACCAGAAGAACCUUUCUACACCCACAAUUUCCCCCCGCUUGUGACUGGCCCCUCUGUAGACCCACCAGCUCGGGGUCCCUUUGGAUGCAUACCGCUCUACGGUAGACUUGGACUUCAUUGCUACAAUCUUCAAAACGUUAGACAAAAAAAAACAAGAAACCAUCUUCUUCCAUCUACUAUUUUUUUUGGUUUUUGUAUAUAGCAUACCAAUUAUGUAAUAUCCAGUGGUUUAGUAUUAACUGUGAACUUUGCUUCUUUUUGAUCUUGUAAUUUGUAGGGGACAAACUUGCAAUUUAUGGCUCUAGUCAAGUAUUACUCAAGGAUAACCUCGAUAUCUUCUCAUCUGGUGACAUUAGAGGCACUCGAUCCAAGACGCAAUUCCUUGUGCGAGUUCGAAACUGAUGUCAGGCCUUCCAUUGAGCAUAGAGAUUGUUUGAGUGCAAUUAUAACCUGCUGCAGAUUAACGUCUCAAACUCCUCCAGGUUAAAUUGACCAGGGCUCACCUUUUUCUUGUUUUUUAGUUUUCCAUCUUUUUCGAUGUAACUAGUUUCACUCAUCUUUUUUAUUUGGUCUUGUCUAAUUGUAUCAGUGGAGGAAUCCAGCUCUUCUUAUUGCUUUGACAAACUUGCCGUGGAUCAUUUCUUCCGAGGUGCUAUGCCCGAAUGGAUGCCCGAGGGUGCGCUUACGGAAACUGAGAAGCUGGAAUGCUAUGAGGUGAGCCUUUUUAGUAGCUCUUGAAAAUAUUCAGAAAAGACCCAAUUUGAUGAAAAAAAGAUUGCAGAUGAAAGAAUCCGAGGUGGAAGAAGACAAGGAAUGGCUUCAUCUAUACGCGGAACUCGCAUUGUUUUCCAAGUGGAAAUCUAAGCUGGUGAGGAGGAUAAAAACUACUUGACGCUAAACAAUGUGAAGGAGAAUUUUGUCUAGGAGCUGUAUUGAUCUCUUGCUUUGUCUUGUUGUAUUGCAGGAAGAUCUCGAAUCUGCAAAGCCAUUUGAGCUGAGGAAGAUCAUUGUAAGAACCAAAGAAGAUGUGAAGCCGAAGAACAAGGUCAAGGCGGAUAACGCAAUCUUCUACAUUAGCUUCAAAACUCGUUGCGGUCAAGAAUGCAAUGCUAUCAUAAGGAAAACAACAGACGGAAUGCCAGAGAAUUUGUCGCUUGAAGUCAAGUGUUUCAUGUGAGACUCGUCUCAUUAUAUGUCUAACGUUUCUCAUAAAGUUUUUUGCAUUAAACUGUUUUCUAAACGACUAUUUUAGUGGUAUUGGAAUCGAGCUUUAGUCAUAACUUGGCCAUAAAGAAUGCAUAUAACAAUCAAUCCUAUGACUUCCUCUCUCUCUCUCUUUGGAAGACAAACCUAUCUCUUACUAAUACUAAUUCUCCCUCUCUCGUUCUCCUUUGAUACGGCUCAUCACUCUCUGCGUCUCUGAUUCUCUCUGUCUCUGCUCCUCUGUCUUAGAGAGAAACAGAGUCGGUGACUUGUCACUUACUCAACAUGAGACCUUUAGUAUCACUUAGAGAGUUUGUUUAAAGCAGAGUCCGUGUACUAGGAAGGUUUAACAAACCCUCUUAACUUGUCACAUAAUCAAAUUUGAGAAGUGAGACCUUCAGAAUCAGUUAAGAGAGUUUAUAAACACUUUGGCGCUAACCAUACUCAAACCUGCUGUAAACCGAUGCCUUCUCGUCCUUUUUCAAGCUCUAGUUCAGAUCACUUCAAGAUUGAAUCAUCAACCAACAAUCCCAACCUUUAUACUACAGCUUGAAUGACUUGAUGUGAGUUUUCUUAAACCUUGUUAAACCUCAGCCAUUACUCAUAUUGUUAAACAUACUAAUCACAUUAGUACAUUUAAACAUAAUGAAUCAUCAGUGAAACCGUUGAGAGCUCCAGAUGCGGGGUUCACCUCUGCAUUAUUUUGCUAACAACAAUCCUCAACCUCUUUCUUGGAGUUACAAAUCCAUCUCCAACACAUCCUAGUGUCAAACUCAAACUCCAGAGAUUCCUUAUCUCCUUCAUAGCAUGUACUACUGAUAAGAUCAUCAACAAGUAAAAUACCUUGAUUCAAGCACCUUAUUCAAACAAAACUUUACCAACAGCUUUAACCUCACUGCUACUACAUCUUAACUAAUCUCAUAUCAUCUGACCUAUGAUGAUCCUCCUAAGCCUUCAACAGCUCGUAUCCCGCCUAGAACUUCAGAUUGCAACCUUAGAUGCACAUUAAUCACUUUAUUACCUUUAUCGGCAUUAGGAUUUCACCAACCAACUUGGCUUCUGCAUCAUUGAACCUUCGACUUGACACUAGACCCUCUCCUUACCAAUUUUCCCUCCAUAAUGUCUCUGAUGAACUGUCUCUCCUCGCCUUGAUAAUCCAAUACAACACUAAUAAUAAUAGUUCAACACUGUAAAACACAUAUUAUUAUUUUUAAAGAUUUUAUGAGUAGAACAAUAUUUUACUGAAAACUCUUUGGUUUUGAAUCAUUUGAUGGACAGAUUAAUAAGAUUGUAAUGAAAGGUAAAGUCAAAAUUAACUCUUUUCUGUGAUAAUGAAGUGAGUAAUAUACAUGAAUAAACUGUCUUUCGUAACCAUAACGACAUUAAAACCUAAAUUCUCUCACCAACACGCCCACCAGCAUCCACAUUCCCAUCCAUAUCUCCAAGCCAUGCCUUGAGACUCGCUUCUUUACCUGCCUUGAACUCCUCAAACUUUGUCGUCUCCACAAUAUGUUCACCUUUCCUUGAGACUUCUUCUUCUUCUUUUAACUCAUUGCUUUCCACAUUGGGAUUAGACUCCGCCUUCUGUUCUUUAAAAUCAAGCUGUGGCCAUUUGAUGUUGCCUGCUUUCUCCUUAGCCGUCUUGAACACUGAUGUGAAUAAGUUGCUGCUUUCACUAUUAUCCUGGCUGAAAUCAGAACCACGGGCUGUUGUUGUAAUACUGUUAGAUCUGCUCCAAGAGCUUGUGGAGCUGAGGAUGACCCCUCUCCUCGGUUGUUUAGAAGACAUUAUGGAUAGAGAGUUCUUGAUGUCUCCAAUCAUGUCAUCAGCAAUAGGUGAACCACACUCUUUCAUUGAUUUCACCAUGGCUAUAGAAUCUUCCAAGUCUUCGGUAUGCAAGCCUGUUUCACGGGACUUGUCCAAAACGUUG
rnacentral:lncRNA from 1 species